AACGAACGCUGGCGGCAGGCCUAACACAUGCAAGUCGAGCGCCCCGCAAGGGGAGCGGCGGACGGGUGAGUAACGCGUGGGAACGUUCCCUUUGCUACGGAAUAGCCUCGGGAAACUGGGAGUAAUACCGUAUGUGUCCUUCGGGAGAAAGAUUUAUCGGCAAGGGAUCGGCCCGCGUUGGAUUAGGUAGUUGGUGGGGUAAUGGCCUACCAAGCCGACGAUCCAUAGCUGGUUUGAGAGGAUGAUCAGCCACACUGGGACUGAGACACGGCCCAGACUCCUACGGGAGGCAGCAGUGGGGAAUCUUAGACAAUGGGCGCAAGCCUGAUCUAGCCAUGCCGCGUGAGCGAUGAAGGCCUUAGGGUUGUAAAGCUCUUUCAGGGGGGAAGAUAAUGACUGUACCCCCAGAAGAAGCCCCGGCUAACUCCGUG
rnacentral:rRNA from 1 species